rnacentral:misc_RNA from 1 species
AGCAGCCGCGGUAAUUCCAGCUCCAAUAGCGUAUAUUAAAGUUGUUGCAGUUAAAAAGCUCGUAGUUGAAUUUCGAGAUCAAAUUGUUGGUCGUGCCUUGGUACGCACUGGCAUUAUUGGUUUCUCCCUUCUGACGAACCAUGAUGUCAUUAAUUUGGUGUCUUGGGGAAUCAGGACUGUUACUUUGAAAAAUUAGAGUGUUUAAAGCAGGCUUACGCUUGAAUACAUUAGCAUGGAAUAAUGAAAUAGGACGUUUGAUUCUAUUUUGUUGGUUUUUAGGAUCGACGUAAUGAUUAAUAGGGAUAGUUGGGGGCAUUAGUAUUCAAUUGUCAGAGGUGAAAUUCUUGGAUUUAUUGAAGACUAACUACUGCGAAAGCAUUUGCCAAGGAUGUUUUCAUUAAUCAAGAACGAAAGUUAGGGGAUCGAAGACGAUCAGAUACCGUCGUAGUCUUAACCAUAAACUAUGCCGACUAGGGAUCGGAUGAUGUUAAUUUUUAAUGACUCAUUCGGCGCCUUAACC